rnacentral:tRNA from 1 species
GACCCCUUCAUCUAGUGGUCAAGGAUACUACUCUUUCACAGUAGAAACAGAAGUUCAAAUCUUCUAGGGGUCGCCA